AUGGAGGCUGAGUAUAUUGCUGCGUCAGAAGCUGCGAAGGAGGCGGUGUGGCUGAAGGAAUUUCUUUCGACUUUGGAGUUUGUUGAAAGUGCUAGAAAACCAAUGGUGGUGUGUUGUGAUAAUCAGGCUGCAAUAAAGGUUUCCAGAUAUCCCAAGUUCCACAACAAGAUCAAACAUAUUGAGGGAAGAGUUUCUACCUAG
rnacentral:rRNA from 1 species